rnacentral:rRNA from 1 species
AUGGCCACGCUGCUCCCCUCGUUUCCGCACGCCCUCUCCAAGCCCCGCCACCUCCACCACCACCACUCCCACGUCGCCGCCGCCUCCGCCAGGCCCGAGGCCCCCAGCCCCGCCUCCGCCUCCGCCUCCGCGGCGCCCGCCAGCUCCCGCCUCCGCCGCCUCAUCGCGCGCGACGACCUCGCCGAGGCCGCGCGCCUCGUCGAGACCUCCACCUCCCGCGGCGAGGCGCCCGACGUCUACCUCUGCACCAAGCUCAUCCGCAACCUCUGCCGCCGCGGCCGCACCUCCGACGCCGCGCGCGUCCUCCGCACCGCCGAGGCCUCCGGCGCCCCCGUCGACGUCUUCGCCUACAACACCCUCGUCGCCGGCUACUGCCGCUACGGCCGCCUCGACGCCGCGCGCCGCCUCAUCGCCGCAAUGCCCGUCCCGCCCGACGCCUACACGUACACGCCCAUCAUCCGGGGCCUCUGCGACCGCGGCAGGGUCGGCGACGCGCUCGCCCUGCUCGACGAUAUGCUCCGGCGCGGCUGCCAGCCCAGCGUCGUCACCUACACCGUCCUCCUCGAGGCCGUCUGCAAGAGCAGCGGCUUCGGGGAGGCCAUGAACGUCCUCGACGAGAUGCGCGCCAAGGGCUGCACGCCCAACAUUGUCACCUACAACGUCAUCAUCAACGGCAUGUGCAGGGAGGGCCGCGUCGACGAUGCCAGGGAGAUCUUGAACCGGCUGUCGUCUUAUGGGUUCCAGCCCGACAUCGUCAGUUACACCACCGUGCUCAAGGGCUUGUGUGCCGCUAGGCGGUGGGACGACGUCAAGGUGCUCUUUGCUGAGAUGGUGGAGAAGAACUGCGUGCCCAAUGAUGUUACCUUUGACAUGCUAGUCAGAUUCUUCUGUCGCGGGGGUAUGGUGGAGAGGGCGAUCGAAGUUCUUCAGCAAAUGUCACAGCAUGGAUGCACACCCAACACUACCUUGUGCAACAUUGUCAUAAACGCUAUGUGUAAACAAGGUCGUGUGGAUGAUGCCUAUGACUUCUUGAACAACAUGGGCAUGUAUGGGUGCAAUCCUGAUACCAUUAGCUAUACUACUGUGCUAAGGGGCUUGUGUCGUGACGGCCGAUGGGAGCAUGCCAAGGAGCUAUUGCCCGAGAUGGUCCGAAAGAACUGCCCCCCAAAUGAGGUCACAUUCAAUACAUUCAUCUGUAUCUUGUGCCAGAAAGGAUUGAUUGAGCAAGCUAUCAAGCUUAUUCAACUGAUGCCGGAGUAUGGAUGUUCAGUGGGUAUUGUCACAUACAACGCUCUUGUCCAUGGCUUCUGUGUGCAAGGGCGUGUUGAUAGUGCUCUUGAGUUGUUUAACAAUCUUCCAUGUGAGCCCAACACCAUUACAUACACUACGUUGUUGACAGGCUUGUGCCAUACCGAGCAGCUGGAUGCUGCUGCAGAGCUCUUGGCUGAGAUGAUUCAGAAGGAUUGCCCUCUAAAUGCGGUGACUUUCAACGUACUUGUGAGUUUCUUCUGUCAAAAAGGGUUUGUCGAGGAAGCAAUCGAACUUGUGUAUCAAAUGAUGGAGCAUGGUUGCACCCCUAACCUGAUCACAUUUAAUACUUUACUCGAUGGGAUCACCAAGGAUUGCAACUCAGAAGAAGCGCUGGAGCUAUUGCAUGGUUUGGUCAGUAAGGGAGUAUCCCUAGAUACGAUAACCUACUCUUCAGUCGUUGAUGUCCUCUCAAGAGAAGAUAGAACUGAAGAAGCCAUUCAGAUGUUUCAUGCCGUGCAAGAUAUGGGGAUGAGACCAAAAGCUGGGAUGUAUAACAAGAUACUGUUUGCCCUCUGUAAAAGAUGUGAAACAGAUCAGGCUAUUGAAUUUUUUGCUUAUAUGGUGUCUAACGGUUGCAUGCCUAACGAGUCGACCUACAUUAUACUCAUUGAAGGUCUUGCCCAUGAGGGUCUGUUGAAGGAAGCACAAUAUGUACUGAGUGAGUUGUACACGAAAGGAGUUCUAAGCAAGAGUUUAAUUGAAGACCACCAGUAA